AAACUUAAAGGAAUUGACGGGACCCGCACAAGCGGUGGAUGAUGUGGUUUAACUCGAUGCAACGCGAAAACCUUACCCACCUUUGACAUGUACGGAAUCCUUUAGAGAUAGAGGAGUGCUCGAAAGAGAGCCGUAACACAGGUGCUGCAUGGCUGUCGUCAGCUCGUGUCGUGAGAUGUUGGGUUAAGUCCCGCAACGAGCGCAACCCUUGCCAUUAGUUGCUACGAAAGGGCACUCUAAUGGGACUGCCGGUGACAAACCGGAGGAAGGUGGGGAUGACGUCAAGUCCUCAUGGCCCUUAUAGGUGGGGCUACACACGUCAUACAAUGGCUGGUACAGAGGGUUGCCAACCCGCGAGGGGGAGCCAAUCCCAUAAAGCCAGUCGUAGUCCGGAUCGCAGUCUGCAACUCGACUGCGUGAAGUCGGAAUCGCUAGUAAUCGCGGAUCAGAAUGUCGCGGUGAAUACGUUCCCGGGUCUU
rnacentral:rRNA from 1 species